UGACUUCUGCUGCUGUCCAGACUGUCGGAACCUCGGCUGGGAGAUGUCGCGAAAAGACUGCUGCGGUUUCUUCCAGGAGGGGAACUUGUCUUGUCUGUCCUGACGGGGACGAAAGGACGACCGGAAACCCGAAGGAGGAAACAGAGUUAGAGGAAAACUGCUUGCGCUCUUGGCGCUGUGCAGAAGCGGAAGGCAUCGCCUUCUUUUUAUCCUUCCCCUCUACCAAUACAGGUUCCAAAAUGUCACCAAAAAGCUUGUUCCCCUUAAAAGCCGAAAUGGCCAAAUUGGACAUGGACUUUUGGUCCACCCUCCAAUGCUUCAGCCACAGGUGACGCCUGACCGUGACAUCGGAGGCCCUAGCCCUAGCUGAAAGUUGCAUUGCAUCCAAGGAGCUAUCAGCCAUGAAGGCCAAGGCCUUGCCAAGCUUAUUCAGGCCCUGCCUCAGAGCCAGCAGCUCGGGGGGCACCAGGGGCAGUAACUCCUUAACCCAUAAUACCGAGGCGCGGGCAAAAAUAGAAUUGGCCUUAGAAGCCCGCAUAGCCAGGGAAGAGGCUUUGAUGUGAAUUCAGUUCGUCCCUGGGUCCGCCUUAAGCCAAUCAAACAGACACAGUGGGAAUCAAUUAGAGGCUUGGUUUAAUGCUCUGCAGAAGCAGGUAGACAAUGGGGCUCACGCUCCACAUUGAAUACAAAUUGGUUAUAGGUGCAUCUUACAUUUAUACAGACAAUCUGAAUGAUGCUGACAUAGUAUACGUGGCAGUAAAAUGGUGGACUAAGUAUCUAGUACGCAUGCGAAUGAUUCAUUGUUCAUCUGGUGAUCACUCCUUAUAUGGUUACAUCCUGUUUUAUUAACUUCUCAGCAAAGAACGGUGAGAACCAAGUUUCUUUAGAUACAUUUUAGUGGAGAGAGAUAACGACAUUGGCCGUAUGUCUCUGAGCUUGGCUGGGGUUACUUUAAGUUAGAAUUAGGUUUUCUAAGCAAACUUGGAGAUGCUUUGGUAUUCUAAGUAAAAUGGAGUUACUUUGGUUUUCUAAAACACAUCAGCUUCAUGGGAUCUGCGCAGGGCAGCAUCGCAUUUUUUGUCAUCGUGGUUACGUAAGACCUCGUCUCCAUCCCUGGGCAGGACAGCGCCGGUCACCAGGGCUGCCACUUCAGCGUCCACUGGAGGAACCUGGAGUGUGUCCAUCACCGCCUUGGUGGUGGUAUAAAAGCGCUUAAUCCCAGGGGGAGGGCCCUUGGCUUCAAUGGGGCGAUCCCACUCCGAGCGGAUAAGGUCCAAGAAGAGCUGGGGGCAGGGCACCACAACCUCAGGAGCCUUCAAGGAAGGCAGAACUGCGGGGUCCCCUUCGGUGGGAUCCUGCGGGGGAGAUACUACCCCCCCCAAUCGCAGAGUCUUCCAGGCCUUGUGCAACAGGACCGGGAAAUCAGGCGGUGAAAACAGACGCUCCCCAGACUACGAUACCCCAUGCAGUGCUGCCUCCGGCCACCCGCUGUGCCCCAAUACGGAGGACCAAGAAAAAGACAAUGGGGAGGACCAAGAAAAAGAUCACGGGGAGGACCAAGAAAAAGAUCACGGGGAGGACGGACGAGACCCUCCAGGCCUCUGUCCAUCAGCUGGCCGGAACAGCUGCCAGAGCAAGUGAAGACAUCAAAGAGAUCCUCGCCCUGACCCAGGAGAAUGGGAGGAAGAUGGCCACUGCCCUGGAAGGGUUGUCUGCUAGCAUCACUGAGCUGAAGGCAGCUUUCCAAAGGAGCGUGGGAGGACGCGGCCCCUCUCUGCACUUAUACCCCCACUGAUGAACCUCCCCAUGUUAUCAAGGCGUUUCCUUCCUCUUCUUCCUUCUCCGCCCCCCUUGGAUCCCUGAUGAUGGAGCUGGAGGACAUCAGCACCAUCCCCCAGCAGAAAGCGAGCACUGCAAGCCACCCCCUUCCAACCCCCACCAGUGCCCCCCCUCACAGGGAUUCCCAGAUUUGUAGUGAACAGCUGGGGAUCCCUGUUAGAGGGGACACUGUCCCCCACCCCAGCGAUUGGUCGUUGAUGAUAGCAAUGGACAUCCUCUGAGGCUCUUCCAGUCACCCCCCCCCCCAAAUCCCCAUCCCUGCCGAGGGGUUCAACACCAAGGAGAAGAGGAAGGGAACUGUCCCUUGGAGAGAGCUGCAUUAUGAUCUCUAGGAAAGGGAUCUCUAGGAACCUAUAAAGCCCAAAACAGCUUGGGCCCUGGGUAUUUAAGAGAACGUCUUCUUGGUCAUGAACCCCACCGCCCAUUGAAGUCAUCUGAAGAGGUCCGCCUGCAUUUGCCACCGGCUCGUCUGGUGGCCACUCAGGGCCAGGCCUUCUCCAUCGCUGCCCCAAGGCUUUGGAAUGUGCUCCCUAGAGAAAUCAGAGCCUCCCCAUCUCUGACAACUUUUUAAAAGUCUUUGAAGACACAUCUGUUCACCCAGGCUUUUAGCUGAUAUUGUUUUGAUGGUGUGAAUGUUGUUUUUAGAAGAUUGUUUUAAAAAAAUUAAACUGUUGUUUCUUAAAUUUGUUUUUAAAUUUCUUGUUUUUGUUUUUAACCAAUGUUUUACUUUUGUUUUUAUCUUGUAAACCGCCCAGAGACACAAGUUUUGGGCAGUAUAAAAAUAUGUUAAAUAAAAUAAAUAAUAAAUAAUAA